rnacentral:rRNA from 1 species
CUCGACCUCAGAUCAAGCGAGAUACCCGCUGAAUUUAAGCAUAUAAAUAAGCGGAGGAAAAGAAACCAAACGGGAUUCCCUU